GACGAACCGUGCGAACGUUGUUCGGAAUCACUGGGCUUAAAGGGCGCGUAGGCGGGCCACCAAGUCUGGGGUGAAAUCCUUCGGCUUAACCGGAGAAUUGCCUGAGAUACUGGUGGUCUUGAGGGAGGUAGGGCACGCGGAACUUCCGGUGGAGCGGUGAAAUGCGUUGAUAUCGGAAGGAACGCCGGUGGCGAAAGCGGCGUGCUGGCCCUCUUCUGACGCUGAGGCGCGAAAGCCAGGGGAGCGAACGGG
rnacentral:rRNA from 1 species